GACGAACGCUGGCGGCGUGCCUAAUACAUGCAAGUCGAACGCUUCUUUCCUCCCGAGUGCUUGCACUCAAUUGGAAAGAGGAGUGGCGGACGGGUGAGUAACACGUGGGUAACCUACCCAUCAGAGGGGGAUAACACUUGGAAACAGGUGCUAAUACCGCAUAACAGUUUAUGCCGCAUGGCAUAAGAGUGAAAGGUGCUUUCGGGUGUCGCUGAUGGAUGGACCCGCGGUGCAUUAGCUAGUUGGUGAGGUAACGGCUCACCAAGGCCACGAUGCAUAGCCGACCUGAGAGGGUGAUCGGCCACACUGGGACUGAGACACGGCCCAGACUCCUACGGGAGGCAGCAGUAGGGAAUCUUCGGCAAUGGACGAAAGUCUGACCGAGCAACGCCGCGUGAGUGAAGAAGGUUCUCGGAUCGUAAAACUCUGUUGUUAGAGAAGAACAAGGACGUUAGUAACUGAACGUCCCCUGACGGUAUCUAACCAGAAAGCCACGGCUAACUACGUGCCAGCAGCCGCGGUAAUACGUAGGUGGCAAGCGUUGUCCGGAUUUAUUGGGCGUAAAGCGAGCGCAGGCGGUUUCUUAAGUCUGAUGUGAAAGCCCCCGGCUCAACCGGGGAGGGUCAUUGGAAACUGGGAGACUUGAGUGCAGAAGAGGAGAGUGGAAUUCCAUGUGUAGCGGUGAAAUGCGUAGAUAUAUGGAGGAACACCAGUGGCGAAGGCGGCUCUCUGGUCUGUAACUGACGCUGAGGCU
rnacentral:rRNA from 1 species